rnacentral:antisense_RNA from 1 species
AAAGAUCGCAGCCUUCGGCAGCUCCUACGGGGGAAUGUGUACGCCUGUAGGAGCUGCCGAAGGCUGCGAUCUUU